rnacentral:pre_miRNA from 1 species
AAUAAACUAAUCUUUUACUUUUUACCCAUAAUGUUUAACUCUUUGUCUUAUUAAAAUUUUUUUUACGAUUAACAUUUUUGUUUUUAUUAAAUGAUAAACCAUGAAUAAUACUUUACGUGUGACUAAUUUUUUUUAAUUUUUUAAAAACAUUUUAAAUAAGACGGAUGAUCAAACAUUAGACCCGGAAACCGAAAGAUUUAUUUGUU